GUUGAGUCUGCCUUUUCUCUCACUCGGUGAGUUGCCAUUAGCACCGCUGACAGUUACUAGAUAAAGUUAAAGACUCAUGCAGUGAUCUGCACCCUAAUUGGACUGUAAUGUAUAGCCUCAGUCAGGCAAAUCUCUCCAUAGACGGCAAUCAAGCCAUUUAGGGAAGAUGCAUCGGCUGCCAGCACCCUGGAGUAACCUUAAGCUACGCUGGCCUUUUAGCAGCAAACACAAUUAAUUUUGAUACUGAAGGGCAAUUAGGACUGGGGUUAAAAUGGAAAGAGGCUGUGGGGGGGGGCACAGAAAUAUUCCAAACAGAGAAUGCCAAAGAUUGCAGAAGGGAAAACGGUUUUCCUGGAAUUCUGUCCCCCUCUGCAAAUGCCUGGUGCCUCGUUUCCUGCAGCAUCUGAAGCAUUGCUAAAGGAAGACUUUUGUCCCUUCUGUGACCGUCAAUAAAGAGAAGUUUGGGUAUAUGCAUCACAUAUUGAGUCAGCUCAGUGAUGCCACGUGAGCCUUCUGAAUGUGUCAGAAUGCUUCAUCAUCCAAGGCAGAAGGAAGGUGGUGGAACCUUAUCCGUUGUGAAUAUGGAUUCUCAGCAGGCUGGGCCUCUAAAGUAACUUCAGCUGUAGCAGCUUCUGCCAAGUGGUCUCAAAGUAUCCCUCUAAUUCCUGGAUGGAGUCCCACCUGCCUCACCCUGCAGCGAGCCAAGUUGGAGACCCUCAUCCCAGGGUUGAAGACAUACGCCUGGCACCAUAUCAAAUACUUAACCUUUAGCACCUCCCAUUUUUGUACAGCCGAGAGAGAACUCCUUGGAAGUGCACCAGAGGAAAAGCAAGUGGACAAAAUAGUCCGCUGCCCUUUGGGGCCAACGAAGAGACUCCGUGUUGUUCAUGCAUUACAUUUCAAUGAUGCCUCAGUGGCUUCAUUGGGAGAAGGAGGUGGAUGAGGAGGGAGAAUAGGACUCAGGAAUCGCCUGGCUUUACAUACGUCGGUUCAAGAUGAGAUGCCAGAUUGUCAAAACACAAACGAGAUGGCAGGGAAAAAGGUGAGCUGGGCAACCGAUCUGUCAAGCGCUUGCCUAGAGGGCAGGUCCCAAUUGGACCUUGUCCAAGGCUGUGGGCAGGAGAAAGAAAAGAGCCAGGCUGCUUAUUGAAAAGAAUAUUCUAUUAAUAAUUUCCCUCGGUGUUUAAAUAUCUUCCUUUUGACUAUGCACUUUCAGCACUUCAGGAAUUCUGGAAUGAAAGGGAAGAAGUUGCUGGGGAAAUGACACCUUACUUCAGUGGUUCUCAACCUGUGGGUCGGGACCCCAUUUGGG